CAGCCGCCGCGGUAACACGAACCGUGCGAACGUUAUUCGGAAUUACUGGGCUUAAAGCGCGUGUAGGCGGGCCGCCACGUCGGUUGCUGAAAUCCCCCGGCUCAACCGGGGAAGUGGCAUCGAUACGAGCGGCCUUGAGGGGGGUAGGGGGAUCUGGAACUUCCGGUGGAGCGGUGAAAUGCGUUGAGAUCGGAAGGAACGCCCGUGGCGAAAGCGAGGUCCUGGACCCUUUCUGACGCUGAGACGCGAAAGCCAGGGGAGCGAACGGGAUUAGAUACCCGUGUAGUCCCUGUCUCUUAUA
rnacentral:rRNA from 1 species